rnacentral:rRNA from 1 species
AAAAGCGGUUAUUAAGGGCACAUGGUGGAUGCCUUGGCUUCAAACAGCGAUGAAGGACGUAGCGUGCUUGCGAUAAGCGUCGGGGAGGUGGCGAGCAACCUUUGAUCCGGCGAUGUCCGUCCGAAUGGGGGAACCCCUUAGGAGUCAUGUCCUAAGACCUGCCGUGUAAUAGCGGCAUGGAGCGCACCCGCUGAAGUGAAACAUCUCAGUAAGCGGAGGAAAAGAAAACAAGCGAAACUUCUUUUUAGUUGCUAGUGGCUAGUUUCUAGUCGCUAGUUGCUAAAAGACAGUUUCAACAUUCCCGUAGUAGCGGCGAGCGAAUUGGGAACAGCCCAAACCAUUUCUUAGUUGGAGCAAUCUAAAUAAGAAAUGGGGUUGUAAGAUGAUGAGUCCAGAGCUUGCUCUGGUAGGAGCUAACAUAAAUCGAAGCUUCGUUAGGAGAACGGUCCUGGAAAGGCCGGCUAUAGAGGGUAAUAGCCCCGUAAACGAAAACGGUUUCGUGCUCCUUUCAUUAUUCUUGAGUACUGCCACGUUGGUAGACGAGGUAGGAAACAGGGAGCACUAGUCUCCCAAGGCUAAAUAUGUUUGAAGACCGAUAGUGAACCAGUACCGUGAGGGAAAGGUGAAAAGCAGCCCGGUGAGGGCGGUGAAAUAGUACCUGAAACAAUGCAAAAGUCAAAAGUAAUGAAGCGCCUGCGGCGCUACCAGAAUUUUGAUUUUUGAUCUUUGGAUUUUGAAUUUUAGGAUGAGCCGAACAUAGCGAGGCGCAUCCGUGACGGCGUGCCUAUUGAAGAAUGAGCCAACGAGUGUAUGGAGAUUGCUUAGCUAAGCAUCUUUGAUGCGCAGCUGCAGGGAAACCGAGUGUUAAUAGCGCGUUAGCACCUCACUUUGUUCGGUGCAUAUCAGCGAAUAUCGAAUCCCGUACGAAUAAGCGAAUUCGCUUAUUCGAAAAAGAUUCGUAAUUCGUUGAUGGCCGAGCCAAGCGAGGCUGCGUGUAGUCUUCAUACGACCCGAAACCAGGUGAGCUACCCAUGAGCAGGGUGAACUUGAGGUAACACUCAAGGGAGGCCCGAACCGGUUGAUCGUUCAACGUCUUCGGAUGACUUGUGGGUCGGAGUGAAAAGCUAAUCGAACCUGGAAAUAGCUGGUUCUCUUCGAAAUAGCUUUAGGGCUAGCGUCGGAUUAUUUUGUUUGCGUGGAGGUAGAGCACUGGAUGGACUGUAAUGGGGCAACCCAGGCAGUCCAAUCAAACUCCGAAUGCCACGUAAAUUAUUCCGGCAGUCAGCAGGCGGGGGCUAAGCUCCGUCGUGCAUGAGGGAAACAGCCCAGACCGCCGAUUAAGGUCCCUAAAUCAAUGCUAAGUGUCAAGGCGGUGGAAUUUCAGAAACAGCGAGGAGGUUGGCUUAGAAGCAGCCAUCCUUUAAAGAGUGCGUAACAGCUCACUCGUCAAGAGAUUCUGCGCCACAAAUGUAUCGGGGCUAAGCAUUGUACCGAAAUCGCGGAUGCCGUGUCUCACUAAUGUUCGACACAAUUUAAAAUUUUCAAUUUUGCAAUUUUCAAUCAAAUUCCAAUGACUCAAUGCUUCAAAAUGUUUAGAACAUUGAGAAAUUGAAUCAUUCACUGAAAAUUAAUAAUUGGCAAUUGAAAAUUACGUGGCGAGCGUCAGCGAGACACGGCGUGGUAGAAGAGUAUUUUGAUUGCUGUGAAGGAAGACCCGUGAGGGCUUCUGGAGCGAUCAGAAGUAAGAAUGUUGGCACUAGUAACCGCAAGUCAGGUGAGAAUCCUGACCGCCGAAAGUCCAAGGUUUCCUUGGCAAUGAUAAUCAGCUAAGGGUUAGUCGGUCCUAAGGGAAUGGCGAACGCCGGACCUGAUGGAUACACGGUUAAUAUUCCGUGACCCGAGUUUUGAUCGAUGGCGCGACGGAGUGUAGUAAGUUGAGUGGAUUAUUGGAUUUCCAUUCAGGGAAUAAGGAGGCAGUGUAGGCAAAUCCGCACCGCUGGAUUUAAUUCCAACUUCAAAUUUCAUGAAAAUGCGUUUCUUCGGAUUCUGCAAAUUCAAUCGAGCACGCUUCCCAGAAAAACGUCUAAGAUUAUUGAGAUUCGGACCGUACCGCAAACCGACACAGGUGGACUAGUGGAGAACACUAAGGCGAACGGGUGAGACCUCGUUAAGGAACUAGGCAAAAAAGCGGCCGUAAGUUC